rnacentral:rRNA from 1 species
CCCGCUGAACUUAAGCAUAUCAAUAAGCGGAGGAAAAGAAACUAACAAGGAUUCCCCUAGUAACUGCGAGUGAAGCGGGAAAAGCUCAAAUUUAAAAUCUGUCAGUCUUUGGCUGUCCGAGUUGUAAUCUAGAGAAGUGUUAUCCGCGCUGGACCGUGUACAAGUCUCCUGGAAUGGAGCGUCAUAGAGGGUGAGAAUCCCGUCUUUGACACGGACUGCCAGGGCUUUUGUGAUGCGCUCUCAAAGAGUCGAGUUGUUUGGGAAUGCAGCUCAAAAUGGGUGGUAAAUCUCAUCUAAAGCUAAAUAUUGGCGAGAGACCGAUAGCGAACAAGUAGAGUGAUCGAAAGAUGAAAAGUACUUUGAAAAGAGAGUGAAACAGUACGUGAAAUUGUUGAAAGGGAAGCGUUUGGCAUCAGCCCAUGGCCCCCGACGAUCACCUCGACCCUCGGUCGAGUGCACUCGUCGGUGGUUGGGCCAGCGUCGGCUCUGUCCGCCGGAGAAAGGUUCGGGCGAUGUGGCUCCUUCACGGGAGCGUUAUAAACCCGGGCGUCAUACGGCGUGAUGGGGCCGAGGUCUGCGGUCUCGUACCUAGGACGCUGGCGUAAUGGUUCCAAGCGACCCGUCUUGAAACACGG